UGUAUGUUUCUCAUGUGUAAUUUUAAUAUUUAUAUCCUGUUAAAUGUCUCUUUCUGUGACAGGCACUCCUGCAACUCCUGCCACCCCAGCCAACAUUGUGCCCAGUUUACCAGACUGGGCCUCUCAGAUCUCUAACUCUGAUACAAUGACAGCUGUAGCCCAGAUCCUGCAGAGCCCUCAAGGCCAACAGUUGCAACAGUUGGUGCAAAGCCUACAGAUGCAGCAGCAGAAGCCUCAGCCAUCGCUGCUGCAGGCUCUAGAUGCAGGCUUGGUGGUCCAGCUACAGGCCCUAACAGCCCAGCUCACGGCCGCAGCUGCAGCCAACACACUCAACCCCCUGGAGCAGAGAGUCUCUUCCUUCAACAAGGUGAAACGCAUGCAAGUUGUGGCAAUUUUCAGCAGUUACUAGGUGUUCUUAGACAGUAUGUAUAAGUUAUGUUUUUGCAGUGUUUUAGUAUAUAGUGUAAGGAAGACUGAUGACCUGUAUUGCUUAUGAUUUAUGACUGCAUUUUGAAUGUGGGACUUGGCUCUGUGGCCACUGACACACACGAAUGGUUUUGACAUCCUCUCCGUUUGCAGAAACUGUUGGGUCAGUUUGAUUUUGGCAGUGAGUCAGAACCGAGUGAGGACUCUAAAAAGGACACAGCAGCUUCUCAGUUACCCAUGGUUUCUGAGUCUAUCAACAGCUCUAUUUUCCAUCAGUUGGCUGAGCAGCUCCAGCAGCAGAACCUCGAACAGUUUCAGAAACAAAUCCUGGAGCACCAGCAACAUCAGCAGAAGUCGAUGGCCAUGGAGAGCCAGGAGACAAUAUUUGGUCCUGAAAAUACUGCUCCUCCUGCACAGAGCAAUGUCCAGCCACAACUCCAAGAACAGGAAACAAAAUUGGAUGACUCCAUUGACAACCAGCAACAGGACAUGGAACUUGAUGAGGGACAGGAUACCAUAG
ensembl:lncRNA